CCCACCCCCACCCCCCCAAGAACAUGGCCAUAUUAAGAGGCCAGUUAUGGCCUACGGGGCGAACCAGCUACCCUCUCCACAAUAUAAUUGUUUUAAAAAAACAGGUGAUAGCCAUCCCUUCCCCAGCCCCCUCUGAGACGAAGUAAUUUGACCAAGAAAAGCAACUACCCCCUCAGCAACAUGCUCAUAUGAAGACGAGGCUAGUGAGGGAGCCCACCCCCCCACAUACAUUGCCAGUUAAAGGUGCAGUCCGCCAUUCAGUUUCGAUUUUCGCGAAAGGUUGUUGAUAUUUGAGCUCAACAGCCAAUUGAAUCACACCCCUCCUUCCCAUGCGUCUGAAGCACCGUAUUGAUUGGCUGGGCUCGACAGCUAGAGGACCGUGAGGAGCAAUUACAUGAAUUUCAAAAAAAAGAUUUGAUUGGAUUAGAAUCACGGACUGCACCUUUAAGAGAAGGAAUUGUGGAGUGUACCUUUAAGAGGCCAGUGGGAAAAAAGUAAAUGCUGAUUUGAUUGCCCAUGCUUGUACCUUUUAGAUAUGUGCAGGUUGUGUGUAUGUAUGUAUGUAUGUAUGUAUGUAUGUAUGUAUGUAUGUAUGUAUGUGUGUGUGUGUGUGUGUGUGUGUGUUGGCAGGAUGUGAUGAUGGGAGUGUGUGUGUGUGUAUGAGAACAGCAGAAUGUACUCGUACCAGUGGACAAAUAAUUUACUGACCACCACAGUCGUUUUUUGGUCAGUGCCGUUUUACCACUGCCUUAAAGGCAACACAGUGAAUCUCAUAGCCAUAGGUGUGCUGAAGCCAGUUAAAGCCACUUCCUUUAGUGCCGUUUACAAGCAACCAUGCUCGAAGGGACUGCUUUUAAAACAUGUAUGCAUUUAAAAUGUAUCUGACCUCUUUAGAAAAGACUUUUCCUUUCUCUAAUUACCCCACAUGCACUGAGAGUGUAUAUAAAAUUGACUAUGAUGUUGGAAAGUAGGAAGCGUUUAGACAUUAUUUGUAGGUGUUGGCUGCAGUGAACUGGUCACACUUGCCAGUGAUAACGCAACAAGGAGACCAAUGCGCUAAGAGGCUUAGCUGCUCGUGGUCUGGAAGACUGAGAAUGCACUGAUGAUCUUCUCAAACUUUACCUGUCAACCAACUCCUGAGCAUGCUAAUGAAAUGAAGUAGGUGUGUAUGUGUAUGUGUGUGUGUGUGUGUGUGUGUGUGUGUGCGUAUAUGUGUGUGUGUGUAUGUGUGUGUGUUAGUGUGUGUAUUCUGUGUGAAUGGCUUGCAGUUGAAUGCACAGUGUGUUGAUGUAGAGAUAGCACACCUGUUGAUGCAGAAAAUUCCAGAAGGGAUUUCAUAGUCUGUGCGCUUCUAAUUCAAGUUGCUUAUCAUUUGGCUCGAAACAUGUGUUAAGAGCACACAGUAGCUUACAGAGAGGCCGUGUUUUACCUUGGAGACGGAUAUCCAACUUAGUCUAGGGAGUCACUCACCUGAAGGUCUGUUUCUUUAGCUUUCAUUAGAGUUUUACGAUGAGUAGAGUUUUAUGAUUAGUAGAGUUUUACAAUGCGUUUGAGUAGGUGUGCUAGUAGGUGUGAGGCCUAAACACGUCCGUUUGCCUUAGCUGAGAUACUCAUCUGAGAUCGUGACGGCGAUUGGCGUGUCAAAAACACAUUCCCACGUCGCUCACAGAACUCGGCUCACCUCUCCAGAGCACCCUGGGCAAAACUGAGAUCUGCGACCUCGCACGAAACCACUGACACGGUCUCGUACUGUUGUGGGGUGACGAGGGACAGUGGAGGGCAAAGGUCAGCCUUCUUCACAGGGUGCUGAAAGAUGCACUGGCUGGCAUAUUGGGGCGGGGGGGGGGGGGGGGGGGGGGCCCUGUCCAACACUGAAACGUUCAGGGCCCUCCACCUUUGAUCCUUGAUAAGACCGUCCCUGUUGCCAGAUCUCCAGGUUUUCCAUGCACCCUCUGAGGAGCCUGUGAGGGAAGGUCUGUGAGUGUCUGGCACAAACCAGAUCUCCUGUCCUUCAAACCAGAUCUCCUGUCCUUCAAACCAGAUCUCCUGUCCUUCAGACCAGAUCUCCUGUCCUUCAGACCAGCCUGUCCUUCAAACCAGAUCUGUCCUUCAAACCAGAUCUCCUGUCCUUCAGACCAGCCUGUCCUUCAAACCAGAUCUGUCCUUCAAACCAGAUCUCCUGUCCUUCAGACCAGCCUGUCCUUCAAACCAGAUAUGUCCUUCAAACCAGAUCUGUCCUUCAAACCAGUCUGUCUUUCAAACCAGAUCUGUCCUUCAAACCAGAUCUGUCCUUCAAACCAGAUCUGUCCAUGCAAGUUACUGCUCCGCCCGGCACCCUUUUUCAAAAUCUGUUUGUUUCAGUUUGUUUUUAUUUGUUCCGUUUCUGUAAAUGGGCCCGAACCUGUGAGUGCUGUUUCCGAUUCACACCAACAAGAUCUAACCUUGAUCAGAACCACAACUGUCCUUCAAACAGAUCUGACCCUAAUUCUGACCCGUUCAGUUCCCCAGUCAGUUGUUAUCUAGACUCCCACAGACACUCUAGCACUUCCUGACAGCCCCACACCCGUCUUACAGACAGCCAGGACUUCAGACAGCCCCACACCCGUCUUACAGACACUCUAGCACACCCCCACACCCGUCUUACAGACACUCUAGCACACCCCCACAUCCGUCUUACAGACACUCUAGCACACCCCCACACCCGUCUUACAGACACUCUAGCACACCCCCACAUCCGUCUUACAGUCAGUGAGGAAUUGUCCUGGUUUGUGUGGGAGAGAGAGAGCGGGCAGGCUUCCACACAGGGAGGCAGCAAUUUAUCAGGACACUGUGCUCAUUGUAUACGACUAGUGAUAUCAUUUAGAGUUUAUUUAUUUUCUUAGGAAAACAAAGUAGAACACAACAGAAGCAGAUUGAGUAUGAGUGCUACUCCAGUCCAUUCUUAAAAGCAGCUGGGGAAUGUUGCCAGUUGUUAUUCUUUCUUAACAUGUGUGUCUUAAAACAUCCUAACAUCUGAUUUACUAUCUUGUGUCCGGCCUUUCUAUAGCAAGAAAAACAAUGCACUGUACUGUGUGGAGAGCCGCUGUCUUCAGUGUAGAUCUCAUUGUCACGCCAUCGUUGUGUCCUCAAACUGUUUCAUGGCUGUGAGUUUGUGACCAGAAAUCAGUGUUGCCAUCAGCUGGGUUUCCAUCCAAUUUUUUAAUGCGUCAAAGUCAAAUAAGAAAUUGAUUUGCUAGAGGGCGGUGGAUCAACUCCCGAUUCGCAUAGGGUAUAAUGCGACAUUUGUUGAGAUUUUACUAUGUUUACUAUGUUUUACUAAGUUGCCCUGACGACCUCUAAUUUUGACCCCACAGCUGUUCACAACUCCUCCUUUGAUUAGGACUACUUGUAAUUCUUUUAGCCGAACUUUCAUAAAUGCGCUCAAAAUAUGUGAAGGAGUUGGAUGGAAACCCAACUAUUGAGGGUCACGGGCAGCUCUGUGUCCAUCUCAGAUAUCGGCCUGUCCUGACAAGGUCAAAGGUCAACUGGGAUAGUGAAGUGUGUGGGGUUACUGUUAGAUUUGGGGAAGACUACAGCUCACCUGAUAGUACUGAACCUGAAGAAUGGAGAGUUAGGCAAUGAGAUGCAUAUGAUGUCACGUAGAUCCAUCCUAUUUAUUUCACCAUAAUUACAGACCUGUCCUGUCAUAACGUUUCUGCUCAUCUUCAACCAUUAACAUUGAUGAAGUCAUUCACACAUAUUAUCCUGAAUACUGAAGGCCAUUUUGCUGAAUGCUUAUUUUGUUUUGCCAAUUCCGAUCGUAAUUCAGUUCCACGUUAUUUCUUAAGGAACCAGAGAGACUGUGCACUUAAUACUUCAUUAAUUGUUGAAUAGAGAGUAGUUUCAUAUGUAGUCACGUGUUGUUCCAAGUUGUUCUUAAGGCAAGGGUUAAGUUAACACAUACAUACUCACGUGAGAUGUACAUUGCGUAAGUACGUUGUACUCGCUUAAAAUGAUGCAAGGCCUACUUAAAAUGACGUGUUUUGUUCUGGAACAUCACACUAGACUUCUCUAUGCUGCACUCUUUGGUACCGACUUGAAAGCCGCCAAACCCUUGCUGUUGUGUGCAUUUAUGCGAAUCCACGUCAUGGCUUACUGUUUCCACACAGCCACCGAUUUAUGACUGGCGUUAAUCCGCCACGAUGAUUAUAUUGACGGUCGCAUUACUUUCCGCACAUUCCACCUGUCUGUCCCUAAGCGAGCCAGUGUUUUUGCAUUCCAGAUGUAAAGUACAUGCAUCAGACCACACGCAGGUGCGUGCCAAACGGUGGAAUGUCUUUUCUACUCGCAGAUUUUGUGUGUUUUUGUUGUGUAAUUUCGUUUGUGCUGAAGUUCCACAUGUACACAAACACACACACACACACACACACACACAAUCCAGAAGGCACCUGAUAGUAGUAUGGCUAUAGAGUGGCUGUCUGCUAGCUUGUCUGUCCACCUGCCUGAUGUGACCAUCUUACAGAUGCAGACAGAUGAACAGCCGAAGGGCUUCAAUGUCAUUUUUUUGAUAUUUUAAUAUACAUGUUAUGAUAAUGUACAUGUAACAAUAAAGCCAUGUUUUGAAUUACUUGAGUCACCCAUCCUGUGUUGUCUUUUGGAAUCUGUGAAUUUCGGGUUAAGUUGAUUCUAUUGUUGUGCCAUCUCUACAAACAUAAUACUUUUUAAAUAUUUGUUUUAAAUAUCUAACACAUGUGUUUUAAACUUCUAAUAUAAAUGUACAGACAGGUGACAAAUUAAAGGAAAACUGAAUAAUUGAGUGGAGAAACAGAACAACUGAAGAGUCACAGACAUGGGAACUAAAUGGGAACAGUGACAUCUGCGCUUAGAUCUGUGGUAAAGACAUCGGUAAAUAGGGUCGGGAACUGUGGUCCACUGCGCACAUUUGAUACUGUGAUACAUUAGUGUGAUAUGUAAGGACAAACAGAAGAACAGCUCUUUUUUUCAGCCUGAGAAUGGCGAUGCUGGACGUGAUCAGACUGUUUCAGCAAAAUAAUUUGCAGAGGAUAG
ensembl:lncRNA